UUUCCGUAGGUGAACCUGGGGAAGGAUCAUUAUUGUAUAACCGAGGUGCGAGGGCUGUCGCUGACCCGAAAGGUCGUGCACGCCCGAGUGCCCUCACACACAUCCAUCUCACCCCUAUGUGCACCACCGCGUGGGUCCCCCUUUGGCUUGUUCGGAGGGGGGCUUACGUUUUCACACAAACUUUGUAUGCAGUGUAGAGUGUAUUUUUUGUUUUUGCGAUCACGCAAUCAAUACAACUUUCAACAACGGAUCUCUUGGCUCUC
rnacentral:misc_RNA from 1 species